rnacentral:lncRNA from 1 species
AACAGAAGAAGCACAUGGAAAGAUGAGUAUAUUUUUCUUUAAAUAGGCCCCUACUCUCUCUUUUAAACUAUUUUAAUAAUCCAUGCUCUUUCUUUUUCUUUCAGAAGCAGGGAGCCCCACGAGAAGACAGCAAAUAACAGAAGAAGCACAUGGAAAGAUGAGUAUAUUUUUCUUUAAAUAGGCCCCUACCCCCUCUUUUAAACUAUUUUACUAAUCCAUGCUUUCUG